rnacentral:rRNA from 1 species
CCUACGGGAGGCAGCAGUGGGGAAUAUUGGACAAUGGGCGCAAGCCUGAUCCAGCCAUGCCGCGUGAGUGAAGAAGGCCUUCGGGUUGUAAAGCUCUUUUGUCCGGAAAGAAAAGCAUUCGGUUAAUAACCGGGUGCCAUGACGGUACCGGAAGAAUAAGCACCGGCUAACUUCGUGCCAGCAGCCGCGGUAAUACGAAGGGUGCAAGCGUUACUCGGAAUUACUGGGCGUAAAGCGUGCGUAGGUGGUUUGUUAAGUCUGAUGUGAAAGCCCUGGGCUCAACCUGGGAACGGCAUUGGAAACUGGCUUACUAGAGUGCGGUAGAGGGGUGUGGAAUUCCCGGUGUAGCAGUGAAAUGCGUAGAUAUCGGGAGGAACAUCUGUGGCGAAGGCGACACCCUGGACCAGCACUGACACUGAGGCACGAAAGCGUGGGGAGCAAGCAGGAUUAGAUACCCUGGUAGUCCACGCCCUAAACGAUGCGAACUGGAUGUUGGGUGCAAUUUGGCACUCAGUAUCGAAGCUAACGCGUUAAGUUCGCCGCCUGGGAAGUACGGUCGCAAGACUGAAACUCAAAGGAAUUGACGG